rnacentral:lncRNA from 1 species
AUGGCUCGAGAGUUGAUGCUCGUUGACCCAGUUGGCUAACGUACUGAAUACAGAAUCACUCUCUCAAGGAAUUCUUUCGGACUUGAUUACGGCACUGCUUGACUUGGGAUACAAUUAAAUAAGACGUGUACAAACUACAAACAGAAGGCACUCUGUCUCCAUGAGCGUGCGUCGUCGUCUCUGAUGCGACCGCCAUUAUACAAGCUACAGACAAAGUCAGAACUAAUGGUCAAAACCACCAAGCCGAGCAGAGGGAAAGGGAAAUGGCACGCACUAGCAGGUGUUUUAUGUCUCGGAACGACACAAACCAGUGUGUAUCAUGAAUCCUCUGUAUAAAGUAAUCAUUCAUCAUAUUAUAUUAUCGGGAUGCUCAAUGAUACAUCGGCAGCUGGUUGUAUGUGCCAAUGAAUGCCAUGCGUACGUGAAGGAAAUCAAAAUGGAUCACCAAUCCAUCUAGCAAACUUGGGAGCAAAUUAAGCAGCAAGAUAUGUUUGCUAUCUGGAAUAAUCCGCCUCCAAAAAUUACAUCGAAGUUCUUGGAUCUUAGAAGAUUGUAUGGCCUAGAGACUUGUAGUUUCCAGGGAACAUAGUUAUCUUGUGUGAGUUGAGAUGCAUGGACAACCAGGGGCUUCUGUUUUCUAGACAAUAUUAAGCAUAAUAGACUUGCAGGAAAUUAGUGGCCAAGCUUGAGUGCUUGAACUAGUGGUUUUGAUCAUGGGGUUUCCUUCUCUUCAAAAGAAUACAAUCUUGUGGCCAUUUAAUCUCAGAUAUUUUCUUUCUUUUGCCUGC